UACGUAGGGCGCAAGCGUUGUCCGGAAUUACUGGGCGUAAAGAGCGUGUAGGCGGCCAAACAGGUCCGUUGUGAAAACUGGAGGCUCAACCUCCAGACGUCGACGGAAACCGUGUGGCUAGAGUCCGGAAGAGGAGAGUGGAAUUCCGUGGUGUAGCGUGAAAUGCGCAGAUAUCAGGAAGAACACCAAUGGCGAAGGCAGCUCUCUGGGACGGUACUGACGCUGAGACGCGAAAGCGUGGGAGCGAACAGG
rnacentral:rRNA from 1 species